GUGACGCACGGUGGAGAGGAGAGGAGCGCUACCAGGAGGGACCGAUGGUGGCGCCGCGUGGGAGGCAUGGGUAUGAUGUCCAAACCACUGCACCACACCCUCUUGAUACACACAUGGAUAUAUAGGCCUAUAUCACUGAAUUAUGGCAACAACAAUGUACUGGUGGAUCUCUGGUCUUCAUGAAGCCCAAGGAAUUGCCAAGGAGCAGACAAGCCGGGCUUUCUGCCCACCACUCGGCUUAGCUCUGAGAGCUCAGCUCAAGUCUUCAAGUCUCAGGUCCAAUGAUGCUGAAGUAGGAUUAAACAAACCAGCUGUAAUAGCUGCGAUCAGAGAAUCAGCACCACAGACGCGGACAGCGACAGACGCGGAGCUCAGCACCACGUGACAUUGGAAAGCGCCGCUCUCAGGCGCAGACAUUCACCACUUGAACAAUCUGACCGCAGGCGACUACUGAAGGAAAGGUUCAUGUACGAAUUUAGUUUGCUAGACUGAUUCAGCCAGCCAUAUUGACUUCUUCAACCAAACUUUAGAAUUGUAAGUAACAGGGAAUAAAUGACUAUGCGAAAA